rnacentral:rRNA from 1 species
CCGAUUAGGGGAUCAAAGAAAUUUAAACCCUUUUUAAAGUAUCAAUUGGAGGGCAAGUCUGGUGCCAGCAGCCGCGGUAAUUCCAGCUCCAAUAGCGUAUAUUAAAAUUGUUGCAGUUAAAAAGCUCGUAGUUGAAGUUCUGCUAAAAGUAACCGGUCUGCUUUUAAUAAAGGUGGUAUCUUGGUGUGUAUUUAGCAAUGAUGUCCUUUGAAGUGUUUUUUACUUUAUUGUAAUAAAGCAUAUUCAGGACUUUUACUUUGAGAAAAUUAGAGUGUUUCUAGCAGGCUAACGCUUUGAAUACUGCAGCAUGGAAUAAUAAGAUAGGAUUUUAGUUCUACAUUAUUGGUUUUAAGAGCUAAAUUAAUGAUUGAUAGGGACAGUUGGGGGCAUUUGUAUUUAACUGUCAGAGGUGAAAUUCUUAGAUUUGUUAAAGACAAACUACUGCGAAAGCAUUUGCCAAAGAUGUUUUCAUUAAUCAAGAACGAAAGUUAGGGAAACCAAA